UACAGAGGGGGCAAGCGUUGUUCGGAAUUACUGGGCGUAAAGGGCUCGUAGGUGGCCAACUAAGUCAGACGUGAAAUCCCCAGGCUCAACUUGGGAACUGCGUCUGAUACUGGAUGGCUUGAAUUCGGGAGAGGGAUGCAGAAUUCCAGGUGUAGCGGUGAAAUGCGUAGAUAUCUGGAGGAAUACCGGUGGCGAAGGCGGCAUCCUGGACCGAUAUUGACACUGAUGAGCGAAAGCCAGGGGAGCAAACGGG
rnacentral:rRNA from 1 species